rnacentral:rRNA from 1 species
AACGAACGCUGGCGGCAUGCCUAACACAUGCAAGUCGAACGAGACCUUCGGGCCUAGUGGCGCAGGGGGGCGUAACGCGGGGGAACCUGCCCGUAGGUUCGGAAUAACUGCCCGAAGGGGGAGCUAAUACCGGUGAAUGUCUUCGGACCUAAGAUUUCUCGCUUCUGGGUGGGGCCGGGUUGGAUUAGGCGGUUGGUAGGGUACAAGCGGGCCAACGCCACGAUGCAUAGCUGGUCUGAGAGCAUGAUCAGGCACGCUGGGACUGAGACACGGCCCAGACUCCUACGGGAGGCAGCAGUGUGGAAUAUUGGGCGAUGGGCGAUAGCCUGAUCCAGCAAUGCCGGGUAAGUGAUGAAGGCCUUAGUGUUGUGAAGCUCUUUUACCCGGGAUGAUAGUGACAGUACCGGGAGAAUAAGCUCCGGCUAACUCCGUG